GUCCUAGCUUCGGCUGGACAUAUACUAAAAUUGGAGCGAUACAGAGAAGAUUAGUACGGCCCCGCGCAAGGAUGAAAAAAAAAUUAAAAAAAAUAAACGCGCAUCUUU